rnacentral:rRNA from 1 species
UACGUAGGGGGCAAGCGUUGUCCGGAUUUAUUGGGCGUAAAGAGCGUGUAGGCGGUCAGGUAGGUCCGUUGUGAAAACUCGAGGCUCAACCUCGAGACGCCGAUGGAAACCAUCUGACUAGAGUCCGGAAGAGGAGAGUGGAAUUCCUGGUGUAGCGGUGGAAUGCGCAGAUAUCAGGAGGAACACCAAUGGCGAAGGCAGAUCUCUGGGCCGUAACUGACGCUGAGGAGCGAAAGCAUGGGGAGCGAACAGG